rnacentral:rRNA from 1 species
CACGGGGGGAGCAAGCGUUGUUCGGAAUCACUGGGCGUAAAGGGUGUCUAGGCGGUCAGGUAAGUGAGAUGUGAAAUGCCCCGGCUUACCCGGGGACCUGCAUCUCAUACUGCCUGGCUUGAGUAUGGGAGAGGAUGAGGGAAUUCCUGGUGUAGCGGUGAAAUGCGUAGAUAUCAGGAGGAACACCGGUGGCGAAAGCGCUCAUCUGGCCCAAUACUGACGCUGAAGC